ensembl:snoRNA SNORD115 Small nucleolar RNA SNORD115
GUGUCAAUGAUGAUACCCUUUCUGUCAUGAAGAGUGGUGAUGACAUAAAAAUCAUGCUCAAUAGGAUUACGCUGAGGCCC